GACGAACGCUGGCGGCGUGCUUAACACAUGCAAGUCAAGGGUCUCUUCGGAGGCACUGGCGCACGGGUGAGUAACGCGUAGGUCAUCUGCCCCUAUCUCUGACAUAACAUCGAGAAAUCGGUGCUAAUAUCAGAUGAGGUAGUAAUAUCAAAGGUUUCGGCUGGAUAGGGAUGAGCCUGCGUCUGAUUAGCUAGUUGGCGGUGUAAAAGACCACCAAGGCGACGAUCAGUAACUGGUCUGAGAGGACGAUCAGUCACACUGGAACUGAGACACGGUCCAGACUCCUACGGGAGGCAG
rnacentral:rRNA from 1 species